UUUCCGUAGGUGAACCUGCGGAAGGAUCAUUAUUGAAUAUUCUUGAUGGGUUGUAGCUGGCUCUCCGGGGCAUGUGCACACUUGUCUUGACUUUAUUCGUCCACCUGUGCACCUUUUGUAGUCUUGGGGGUUGAGAGCAAGUCGACUAUCGGAUGGCUAAGGCCUUUCCGGACGUGAGGAUUGCUGAGUGCGAAAGCAUACAGCUCUUCUUAAAUGACUUGUAGUACCUCUCCCUCAAGUACUAUGUAUUCAUAUACCACAUAGUAUGUUGUAGAAUGUGAUCAAUGGGCCUAUGUGCCUAUAAUAAUGAUAUACAACUUUCAGCAACGGAUCUCUUGGCUCUC
rnacentral:misc_RNA from 1 species